GACCAGUAUCUAUUAUCGUAGCAUUAGUAAAAAACACUAUUUUAAGGAGUUCAUAUUUAUAAAACUAAGAGGAUCACCAUAAUAAGAGAAAAGUCUUGGACGUACUGUAAUAAGCUCGGAUUAAUGGAUGCUUGCCUUGGCGGUUUGUAACAUGAAAUUCCACAUCUUGAGAUUCUUUGGCCAAAGACUCAAGCUUUGUGGAUAAAAAUUCUUUCAUGCCUUUUGAGCUUCCACCCCAAUUACAAUACGAAAACUCAAUUCGACGGCACUAAAAAGAAAAUUAGUAAUACGAAGUUAAUGAAGGCCAAUCUUUUUUUUUUUUUUUUUUUUAAAAAAAAAGAAAGCUGAUUAAAUCUUACUGGGCGGGUAAAUGAACCUAGUCCAUUUUUGGGAAUUGAAAUUUUAGGAAUGAUUUCAAUCAUCAUUAAGUGAGUAAAAGGCCGUAAAAAAGGGGAUACCGUCUUUUAAAAACCAGAAUUCUUAAUAUGCUAUAUUGAAAAAAGUUGGGUGAGCAAAUCCUUGCAGAAAUAAUGAAAAGUCGGUAUGGAGACGUAAAGGGGUGUGUGGAAAUUCGCAAAUCCCAAAU